rnacentral:rRNA from 1 species
UACGUAGGGCGCAAGCGUUGUCCGGAAUUAUUGGGCGUAAAGAGCUCGUAGGCGGCUUGUCACGUCGGAUGUGAAAGCCCGGGGCUUAACCACGGGUCUGCAUUCGAUACGGGCAGGCUAGAGUGUGGUAGGGGAGAUCGGAAUUCCUGGUGUAGCGGUGAAAUGCGCAGAUAUCAGGAGGAACACCGGUGGCGAAGGCGGAUCUCUGGGCCAUUACUGACGCUGAGGAGCGAAAGCGUGGGGAGCGAACAGG